rnacentral:rRNA from 1 species
GUGGCGAGCGGCGGACGGGUGAGUAAUGCCUAGGAAUCUGCCUGGUAGUGGGGGAUAACGCUCGGAAACGGACGCUAAUACCGCAUACGUCCUACGGGAGAAAGCAGGGGACCUUCGGGCCUUGCGCUAUCAAAUGAGCCUAGGUCGGAUUAGCUAGUUGGUGAGGUAAUGGCUCACCAAGGCGACGAUCCGUAACUGGUCUGAAAGGAUGAUCAGUCACACUGGAACUGAGACACGGUCCACACUCCUACGGGAGGCAGCAGUGGGGAAUAUUGGACAAUGGGCGAAAGCCUGAUCCAGCCAUGCCGCGUGUGUGAAGAAGGUCUUCGGAUUGUAAAGCACUUUAAGUUGGGAGGAAGGGCAUUAACCUAAUACGUUAUUGUUUUGACGUUACCGACAGAAUAAGCACCGGCUAACUCUGUGCCAGCAGCCGCGGUAAUACAGAGGGUGCAAGCGUUAAUCGGAAUUACUGGGCGUAAAGCGCGCGUAGGUGGUUUGUUAAGUUGGAUGUGAAAUCCCCGGGCUCAACCUGGGAACUGCAUUCAAAACUGACAAGCUAGAGUAUGGUAGAGGGUGGUGGAAUUUCCUGUGUAGCGGUGAAAUGCGUAUAUAUAGGAAGGAACACCAGUGGCGAAAGCGACCACCUGGACUGAUACUGACACUGAGGUGCGAAAGCGUGGGGAGCAAACAGGAUUACAUACCCUGGUAGUCCACGCCGUAAACGAUGUCAACUAGCCGUUGGGAGCCUUGAGCUCUUAGUGGCGCAGCUAACGCAUUAAAUUGACCGCCUCUCAAAUGAAUUGACGG